UACGUAGGGUGCGAGCGUUAAUCGGAAUUACUGGGCGUAAAGCGUGCGCAGGCGGUUUUGCAAGCCGGAUGUGAAAUCCCCGGGCUCAACCUGGGAACUGCAUUUGGGACUGCAAGGCUGGAGUACGGCAGAGGGAGGUGGAAUUCCACGUGUAGCAGUGAAAUGCGUAGAGAUGUGGAGGAACACCGAUGGCGAAGGCAGCCUCCUGGGCUAGUACUGACGCUCAUGCACGAAAGCGUGGGGAGCAAACAGG
rnacentral:rRNA from 1 species